AUGGGGAAGAUGCCGGUGCGGAUGAAGGCGGUGGUGUACGCGCUGUCGCCGUUCCAGCAGCAGGUGAUGCCGGGCCUGUGGAAGGACAUCACCACCAAGAUCCACCACAAGGUCUCCGAGAACUGGAUCUCCGCCACGCUCCUCAUCACCCCCGUCGUCGGCACCUACCAGUAUGCAAUGUGGUACAAGGAGCAGGAGAAGCUGUCCCACAGAUACUAA
rnacentral:rRNA from 1 species